UCCCCGGUGUCUCAGUGGUAAAGAAUCUGCCUGCAAUGCAGAGGACACAGGUUCCAUCCCUGCUCUAGGAA
rnacentral:tRNA from 1 species